UACGAAGGGUGCAAACGUUGCUCGGAAUCACUGGGCAUAAAGCGCUCGUAGGCGGCCAACUAAGUCAGACGUGAAAUCCCUCGGCUUAACCGGGGGACUGCGUCUGAUACUGGAUGGCUUGAAUCCGGGAGAGGGAUGCGGAAUUCCAGGUGUAGCGGUGAAAUGCGUAGAUAUCUGGAGGAACACCGGUGGCGAAGGCGGCAUCCUGGACCGGCAUUGACGCUGAGGAGCGAAAGCCAGGGGAGCAAACGGG
rnacentral:rRNA from 1 species